GAUGAACGCUGGCGGCGUGCCUAAUACAUGCAAGUCGAACGAAGAUCUAGCUUGCUAGAUCUUAGUGGCGAACGGGUGAGUAAUACAUAAAUAAUCUGCCCAUAUGACUGGGAUAACUAUUGGAAACGAUAGCUAAUACCGGAUAGGUUGAUCGGAGGCAUCUCUGAUGAAUUAAAGUAGGAUUUCUACACAAAUGGAUGAGUUUAUGGCGCAUUAGUUAGUUGGUGGGGUAACGGCCUACCAAGACGAUGAUGCGUAGCCGACCUGAGAGGGGGACCGGCCACACUGGGACUGAGACACGGCCCAGACUCCUACGGGAGGCAGCAGUAGGGAAUUUUCGGCAAUGGGCGCAAGCCUGACUGAGCAAUGCCGCGUGAGUGAUUAAGGCCUUCGGGUUGUAAAGCUCUGUUGUAAGGGAAGAACAUUCAGGAUAGGAAAUGAUCUUGAACUGACGGUACCUUACCAGAAAGCCACGGCUAACUACGUGCCAGCAGCCGCGGUAA
rnacentral:rRNA from 1 species